rnacentral:rRNA from 1 species
AUUGAACGCUGGCGGAAUGCUUUACACAUGCAAGUCGAACGGUAGAGGGGGCAACCCCUUGAGAGUGGCGAACGGGUGAGUAAUAUAUCGGAACGUGCCCAGUCGUGGGGAUAACGUAGCGAAAGUUACGCUAAUACCGCAUACGAUCUAAGGAUGAAAGCGGGGGAUCGCAAGACCUCGCGCGAUUGGAGCGGCCGAUAUCAGAUUAGGUAGUUGGUGAGGUAAAGGCUCACCAAGCCAACGAUCUGUAGCUGGUCUGAGAGGACGACCAGCCACACUGGAACUGAGACACGGUCCAGACUCCUACGGGAGGCAGCAGUGGGGAAUUUUUGGACAAUGGACGCAAGUCUGAUCCAGCCAUUCCGCGUGCAGGAUGAAGGCCCUCGGGUUGUAAACUGCUUUUGUACGGAACGAAAAGGUUUCUAUUAAUACUAGGAGCUCAUGACGGUACCGUAAGAAUAAGCACCGGCUAACUACGUGCAGCAGCCGCGGUAAAGUGACU